AACAAACGCCGGCGGCGUGCCUAAUACAUGCAAGUCGAACGGGGAAAGCUUUCGGGUGAGUACUAGUGGCGCACGGGUGAGGAACGCGUGGAUAAUCUGCCUUAGAGUGGGGGAUAACCAGUCGAAAGAUUAGCUAAUACCGCAUAAGACCACAGGAGCUGCGGCUCAAGGGGUCAAAGGUUUUUCGCUCUAAGAUGAGUCCGCGUAAGAUUAGCUAGUUGGUGAGGUAACGGCUCACCAAGGCGACGAUCUUUAACUGGUCUGAGAGGAUGAUCAGUCCGACUGGAACUGAGACACGGUCCAGACUCCUACGGGAGGCAGCAGUAGGGAAUAUUGCACAAUGGAGGAAACUCUGAUGCAGCGACGCCGCGUGAGUGAUGAAGGCCUUCGGGUCGUAAAGCUCUGUCGCAGGGGAAUAACACAAUGAAUGUACCCUGUAAGAAAGGAUCGGCUAACUUCGUGCCAGCAGCCGCCGUAAUAC
rnacentral:rRNA from 1 species